GGGGAGUACAUUGACAGCACGCUCGGGGCUGUGUUAGGAAUAUCUACAAUGGCAGCUGCUGGGUUGGGGAACUUAAUCUCGGAUGUAGCUGGACUCGGAUCUGCAUCAUAUGUGGAGAGGCUCGCUGCAGCAGCUGGUGUGAGAGCACCCCCUCUCACACCCCCACAACUCGACAUGAGGUCAACGAGAUUUAUGUCAAGUUUUGUGAG